rnacentral:rRNA from 1 species
GACGAACGCUGGCGGCGUGCUUAACACAUGCAAGUCGAACGGUAAGGCCCUUCGGGGUACACGAGUGGCGAACGGGUGAGUAACACGUGGGUGAUCUGCCCUGCACUUCGGGAUAAGCCUGGGAAACUGGGUCUAAUACCGGAUAGGACUCCUGGCUUCAUGGUUGGGGGUGGAAAGCUUUUGCGGUGUGGGAUGGGCCCGCGGCCUAUCAGCUUGUUGGUGGGGUAAUGGCCUACCAAGGCGACGACGGGUAGCCGGCCUGAGAGGGUGACCGGGCACACUGGGACUGAGAUACGGCCCAGACUCCUACGGGAGGCAGCAGGGGGGAAUAUUGCACAAUGGGCGCAAGCCUGAUGCAGCGACGCCGCGUGAGGGAUGACGGCCUUCGGGUUGUAAACCUCUUUCAGCUAUGACGAAGCGCAAGUGACGGUAGUAGCGGAAGAAGGACCGGCCAACUACGUGCCAGCCGCCGCGGUAA